AUCGCCAGGGAACUACAAGCAAAGCUUCAAACCCAAGGACUUGACGGUACUCCAUAUCCACCUAGAGGAGCCUGUCCUAUAAUCGAUAAUCCCCGCUUAACCUCACCAUUUUUAGCCUCCCAGUCUGUAUACCUCCGUCGUCAGCUUACCUCGUGAGCGACUCUUAGUAAGCUUAAUGCCCUUACGCCAACACGUCAGGUCAAGGUGCAGCAAAUGAGAUGGGAAGAGAUGGGCUACACUCUCUAUUUUAGAAAAUACGAAAAACUACCUAUGAAACCUAGUCAGAAGGCGAAUUUAGCAGUAAAGGGGGACAAAAGAGCCCCCUUUAAUAUGGCACUGAAGUGUGU
rnacentral:rRNA from 1 species